CUCUUGUGCAAUCGAUGGCUCAGGUUGGCUGCGCGGGGAGCGGCCAGAGGCUCGCUGGCGCGCACGCCGCGGAGUCAUGAACGACUUUGACGAGUGCGGCCAGAGCGCAGCCAGCAUGUACCUGCCGGGCUGCGCCUACUAUGUGGCCCCGUCUGACUUCGCUAGCAAGCCUUCGUUCCUUUCCCAACCGUCGUCCUGCCAGAUGACUUUCCCCUACUCUUCCAACCUGGCUCCGCACGUCCAGCCCGUGCGCGAAGUGGCCUUCCGCGACUACGGCCUGGAGCGCGCCAAGUGGCCGUACCGCGGCGGCGGCGGCGGCGGCAGCGCGGGGGGCGGCAGCAGCGGGGGCGGCCCCGGCGGGGGCGGCGGCGGCGCGGGGGGCUACGCUCCCUACUACGCGGCGGCGGCGGCGGCGGCUGCGGCGGCCGCGGCGGCCGAGGAGGCGGCCAUGCAACGCGAGCUUCUCCCGCCCGCGGGCCGCCGGCCGGACGUGCUCUUCAAGGCGCCUGAGCCGGUGUGCGCUGCGCCGGGGCCGCCGCACGGCCCCGCGGGCGCCGCCUCCAACUUCUACAGCGCGGUGGGCCGCAAUGGCAUCUUGCCACAGGGCUUCGACCAGUUCUACGAGGCAGCGCCCGGGCCCCCGUUCGCCGGGCCGCAGCCCCCGCCGCCACCCGCGCCGCCACAGCCCGAGGGCGCAGCCGACAAGGGCGACCCCAGGACCGGGGCUGGUGGCGGCGGGGGCAGUCCCUGCACCAAGGCGACCCCUGGCUCGGAGCCCAAGGGGGCAGCAGAAGGCAGCGGUGGCGACGGCGAGGGCCCCCCGGGAGAGGCGGGGGCCGAGAAGAGCAGCAGCGCAGUUGCCCCCCAGCGGUCCCGGAAAAAGCGCUGUCCCUAUACCAAGUACCAGAUCCGCGAACUGGAACGCGAGUUUUUCUUUAACGUGUACAUAAACAAAGAGAAAAGACUUCAACUCUCUCGGAUGCUCAACCUCACUGACCGGCAAGUCAAAAUCUGGUUCCAGAAUCGCAGGAUGAAAGAAAAGAAACUGAACAGAGACCGUCUGCAGUAUUUCACUGGAAACCCCUUAUUUUGAGAGCUCCAGGAAGCGCCCUCACCCCAGCCCCACUCACCCACCCUCCUUCCCACCAGCCUGCUCUCCGCAGGCCCACUGUCCUUGGGUUUAAUGACGUCUCUUCUCUGUGGAACUUCACGAUUCCUUCCCACGGUCAACUCGGGACCUCCCAGCGACCACUGCAGCCUGCGGACGAGGCCGGGACUUGGCCGAGCGGAUCCUAAUAAGGGGAAAAUGGGGCCUGGAGAUCCACACGAGGGCGCGCUCACGUUCCAGAAGCCGCGUUUGACCAAGAGGCCGCGGUACCUUGUCUGUCCAACACUGGAUUCUAAUAGGCGACCUCAACCCCUUAGAAACAGGCGGCAGCUAAGGUGUUUGCUAGUUUAUUUGUUCUAAGCAGCCAUGAGGUGUGAGAAGUUGUAUAGAGACAGAAAACGGAGCAACUAGAUUCACGAAACAGCCUAAUCUUUGUCUCUUUAAAGACAAAGCUGUUGCAAAAGAAUACCUUGGUAUAACCAGAUGGUGUGGAGCAGAGUUUUAAAAGAUAAAUGUAUGCAUUUUGAAAGAUACCAUAGCCACUGCUGGUUAAUUAAAUUAGGGAAAAUCAGUUUUCUUGGUUUCAGUGUGGAGAGCCUUGUCUAGGGUUGGACACCCCCUACUUAACAUCCCCCUCCCCCCCGCAAAAAAAAAAAAAAAAAAAAAAACCUUCAUCGGUUUUACCCCCUCUCAGACCUCCUGGGAUGAUUAAAAGGCUUUUGUUUAUAACAGAUCAGGGAGCGGGCCACUUAGCCAAAUGUCUCUCAGAAAAAAAUAAGACGCAUGGGGGACUGGGAGAAUCGUUCUGGGAGCCCGCGGCCGUGCCUGGAGUGCGCGGCUACCAGUGGCGACCGAGUGGCGCCGGCAGGACUGUGAGUUGGUGUGCCCAGGCCGGGCUGGGCUGAUGCGGACACGGGAGGCAGCAGGCACUCGGGGGAAACGUUUAUACUUCAAGGCGUUGUAAAACGGGGAAUGUAUUUGAAGCAAACGGGCUUUGCGUUUGACAGAAAACUGGCCACCCUUCCAAGCUGCACGCCGGUCUUGAGCAGAGUUGAAUUGUGGCUCUCAGAAGCAGUGCAUUCGUUGCGUGCCCUCCUUCCUCCAGCAAAGCCCCUGACCUUGGGGAGGGCCUGUGUCCCCGUUCGGAGUUCACAAGAGAGGAGACAGGGCUCCCCGACAUUGGCCUCUCUAAGGGAGGAUGACUGCCCCCUUUCCCUCCCCGAAGUUCAUUGUGAAGAGCCUGCAACCCCCAGAAUUAGCGCUGGCCUUGUUGGCCCUCCAAGCCCUGGACCAAAGGCCCUGGGGCCUGCCGCUUGCCCCUCUCCCGGAGCUGGCCUCAGCUUUGGUGGGGAGGCCGGGGCUCCAGUGAGCCCCCCGGCGAGGCUCCAACGAGUGGCGUGGGUGUUCCCCGCAGGCAACCUUGGCUCCACUAGUCUGACCGCCGGUCCACCUUGUCUAUAGUGACGCUACCUUUCCCGAGGCUGAACGGGGUCCUCGGUCUAUGUGAAGUGAGAGCUGCCCUCCCUAAAUGUCGUUGUCCUCUCAAGGCGGCCCCAGCGGCUGCACAUCUGGCUGUGCGGGGGCCCCUUGGACUUGGCUGGCAGCCGCCUGCGAAACACCGCUUCUCAGCGGUCUGCAGUUCCUUUCCUCCCUGCGCCCAAGAUGGGCCUGACAAGGGCCCGGGAUCAGACCAGAACCUCUGGGGGCUGAAGACCUCUCCCCACCCCCAUCUUACAAAGUGUGUGGGGCUUGCGGAGAGUGGCCUUGGAUCCUAAGGCGCCAAGGUCUCAGACUCUGAAGUGGAAGGGAAAUGCGCGAAGUAGGAGUCUUUUGUGUCUGUGCAGAAGGAGGUUCUCCGGCCGCCGGCCCUUGUUGCACGUCUGGAUAGACCCCUUAUUGCAUUGGUGGUAGACUCCCCAUUUGCCCCCUAGAUUUCCUUUCACCUUGGCUUGGAGGUGCACAGUGCAACCCGGAGGAGCGCCCGGGGAAGACAGCUUUUAAUCGACUCCAUCCGCUCUGUCCCCAAAGAGUGACACAGCCCAGAGGUGGCUCAGAACCCUAAUCCGGGGUGACCCUAAGAGCCCACAGGUCCACUCAGGCCCAGGGCUUCAACUUUUCUUCCAGGAGACAAGAGUGCAGAUGCAAGCCACUUUUUGAUUACAAAUGCUAAUUUCUUGUUCAAGCUGUUCUUUUAAUUUUUCCCUGGAAAGAACUGUGGCAGGGAGAAGGGCGUCUUGGUACAAAUAUGGGUAUUCAUCUCCUUUAUGGUGCAAUAUUGAUUUAUUAUUAAUGGUAACUGCUCCAACUGAUCUAAAGAUGAUGGAAAACAUCAGCUACAUUAAAUACUCAUAAGCAAAAUAAAGGCUGGCCUGUAGAGCACGGCCUUUUUAUUCCAUUUGUCUCACCUCAGCCUUAGAGUCUUAGGCACACUUUCCAUCCUUUGGGGCUCGGAUCAUUCUUUUGUAUUAUUUCUAUCUUGCUCAAUUUUUUAAUGAUAAAAUAUCUCAAAAUAUUGACAGUCUCUUGUCUCAAGGAGCGGGUCUGAAAGCAGAAAUUUUAAAGAUAAAAAAUAGAAUUUUGUGAGAACAGAUUCAAAAUUAUGUCUGAUAUACACAUUUUUGUCUGUGAGUAAAAACCUAUUUAACUCUAACCAAUAAGGGAGUGACUUUGAGCUCAAAGCCACUGAAAGCUGAAAUGGAAAGGUCCCCAAAUUCUGAAGACACAUCCUGCCUAUUCUGGCUCACUGCAGACCUACCCGCCCGCAAGGAAUUGCUUGUUUUUAGCCUGUAUGUUUUCUUCAUGUAUAAAUAAAGAUUAUGAAAGGGCAUUUGAUGGGCAUAAAAUUCCCGAUUAGAUUAAACAGUCUUGCCUUUCUUAGGGUAGGGAAAAUUGGGCAAACAAGUUCCCAGCAGCUCUUCUGGCCAAGAGGCAAAAGGGCGACACUCGAUACUGCUGGAGCGCCAAGCUAGUGUCAGGGCGCCUGCGGCAAGCGAGUGCAGCGGGCACUUCAUUCAGCUUUGGGCACGCUUAGCCCUGGCUUGAAACAAGAUCUCUACUAUGUGAGAAAGCAAAUUUCAGGGCGCUGGUCAGUGGCUGUUAGCUUUGAACAGUACCUUAGCAACCUAGAGUCAAAAGUUAUGUUUUGUCUUGUUUUGUUUUUCCGGCCAUCCUCAACCCCCACCCCCAAGCUCGAAAACAGCCACCCCUGUGGAAAGGUAAUGUUUAAACCCCAGGCUAUGCUGGGAUGCUGCAGCCAAAGCAGUUAGAGGCGCCAGGCUUUUAACCUGACAAUGAUGUUGUAUUUGAACAGCUGCGUAAAGGUUUAAAAGGUCUGUCUCAUUGCCACCGCGGAGUUUUUUAAAAGAGGUUAUUGUUUGGGCGAGAGCACCGAGAGGGAACAGGCGAAAGGGUCCCAAGGCCGAAAAUAAUGUUCAACGCUUGUUUCAACCAGGCCAGGGGAGAUUCCUUUUUGGGAAGAGGGACAAAGGGUUUUUUGGGAAAGGUUUUUGUAAAGGAGCGGGCGGGCUACUAGGUCCCCCAGAAUGCUGAGGCGCUUUAAUGAACCUCAGGCCCCAAAGAAAUGUUCUAUUGAGGUGGAAACCCAAUUUACCCACAAGUUCAGUCUCUGGGCCUGAAAUCCAAGGCCAGCCCAUGCCCCAGCGAGUACGGGGAAAAGAGAACACAGAUGCCCUCCCGGACUGAGAACUGGUUCAUGGUCAGAGUUUCUGGGACCGCUUUAGUUUCUUGGCUGGCAGGAAGGGAACCUGGCAGGCCGAAGGACGGCUCCAAGCCCUGGCCGGCCCCUCACUCAGGGCAAGUCUUUGGAAAUCAAGGUUAAAGCUCCCCGCUGCUGCCCCGAGGCCCGGGCUUCCGCAGGGCGGCUCACCCGCCUGCAGCAAGAGAGGGAGGGAGGAAGUUGUUGAAGUUUCUCAUAAAACUCUGAGUUUCCAUGGUGGUAGUGGUGGUAGUGGUGGUAGUGGUGGUAGUGGUGGUUCUUUAAUGAGCCGGACCACAACCCCAGACCAUAUCCUCUUCAUAGAAGUUUCCCUCACCAAAGGAAACAGAGAACUAAGAUUCCCACCUCCUUCCCCUCCCUUACCCAAGCAAAGCCUUGUCAAAUAAUUUCAGAAAUUGUCCAAAACUGUAAAACUCAACUUCUGACAAAAGUAUAGCUUUUAAUAUUUGACAAUUUGUAUUAAAACAAAAAUGACCUUCUUGGUUAGCAGCGAAGGGAAAAAAAUCAAUAGUAUAAUUUUCAAUAAUUCAUAAAGCGAACGCCAUUAUGGUAAAUUUAACUAUUAAUCUUAUCCUUUACAAAGUCUCGAUUGAUUUGUUAAUAAAGUAUCUUCCCGUGUGUGGCAACAGCGGGCAUAACUCUUUAAAAACCUUCAGAAGCAAGAAAAUUACCAAGUAGCCCAAGAAUGUAGAUGAGAAUUUUAUUGAUCGCCCUGAUUCUUCUUAAUAUGUAUUAAUAAAUUCCACAACCUUUUGUACCUUG